rnacentral:rRNA from 1 species
UACGUAGGGUGCAAGCGUUGUCCGGAAUUAUUGGGCGUAAAGAGCUCGUAGGCGGUCAGUCGCGUCUGCUGUGAAAACUCGGGGCUUAACCCCGGGCCUGCAGUGGGUACGGGCUGACUAGAGUGCGGUAGGGGAGACUGGAAUUCCUGGUGUAGCGGUGAAAUGCGCAGAUAUCAGGAGGAACACCGAUGGCGAAGGCAGGUCUCUGGGCAUUAACUGACGCUGAGGAGCGAAAGCGUGGGGAGCGAACAGG